AGAGGGAGUUGGCGAGUGGACUACCUGAUCACCGGGGAGUGGAAAGAGGUGUUCCACCCAGUCCUUCCUCCUCCCUCCACUCUUGGGGUAGAGUUGUUUCAGUAUCAGACCUCUUCAGAGACGGAUUUUCGUUCGGGGGGGGCGAUAAAUAUUUGGGAGGUGUUGCUGCUUGCUUUGACUAGAGUCUGGUGGGAACGCCCAGAAAGGCCAAGAAAAAUGUUUAACAAAACUUGUUUUCUAGGCCUGCCUGGCGAGAUCCGAUACCAUAAUAUUCAAGUAAUUUUACAAAUUUAGUAGUAAGAAUAAUCAAAUAUGAAAAUAUCAAAUCAAAAUAUACAUAAUUUGCGUGGGUGCAAAAACUUUUAGGGGGCGGUGCCAAAUGCCUCUGGGGGGUUCAAAGUAUUUCGCCCCCCCCCCCCAGAAAAUCCGUGCCUGGGCCGUUUUGAAUGGGGGGGGGGGGCGCUUUAGCGCUAACCCUGUUCGGUAGAACAUUGGAGUGUCU